rnacentral:rRNA from 1 species
CUGGCUCAGGAUGAACGCUAGCUACAGGCUUAACACAUGCAAGUCAGGGGCAGCAUGUGGUUGCUUGCAACCAAUGAUGGCGACCGGCGCACGGGUGAGUAACGCGUAUCCAACUCCCCUUAGUAGAGGAUAGCCCGGCGAAAGUCGGAUUAAUACUCUAUGUUCUUCAAUGCGGACAUCUAAGUUGAAGCAAAGAUUUAUCGCUAAGGGAUGGGGAUGCGUCUGAUUAGGUUGCAGGCGGGGUAACGGCCCACCUGGCCUACGAUCAGUAGGGGUUCUGAGAGGAAGGUCCCCCACACUGGUACUGAGACACGGACCAGACUCCUACGGGAGGCAGCAGUGAGGAAUAUUGGUCAAUGGGCGCGAGCCUGAACCAGCCAAGUAGCGUGCAAGGGACGACUGCCCUAUGGGUUGUAAACUGCUUUUAUCAGGGAAUAAAGUGAGGCACGCGUGCCUUUUUGUAUGUACCUGAUGAAUAAGGACCGGCUAAUUCCGUGCCAGCCGCGGC